AAACAAAUAAAGCUAAAAAGAAAACAGAGUUAUAAGAUAAGUCCAGCAAUAAAAAGAUUGAAAAAAAGAAAUGCAAUUCCUGAAGUCCAUAUCCAUACUCUUUACAAUCUCAAGAGAAGCUGAGAAAAGAAAGCUACUGCAUUUGUAUUCUGGAGUGAGAAGCCGAUACUUCAGUGAACACGGCUACUCUGGGAUAUUGAAACAACCAAGUACCAAAUCUCCACUUCUCAUGCACCAGCGACUCAGACAUGAGUUUGUUCCAUCUCAUCCUAUUGUCUCAAAUGGAUAUCAGUACUCUCCCUUAAGAUUUGAGGAAUUGAUUGCUGCACCUCCACUGGCCAUGCAUCUGACCUUCAAAAGCCAUUUAACUUUGCCGUACACUUUGCCAACUGGAGUCAAACCCUGGAUUAAACGGCA